AGCGAACGCUGGCGGCGUGCUUAACACAUGCAAGUCGAGCCGAAGGGUGUUUCAAGGGUAACCUUGAGAUACACUUAGCGGCGGACGGGUGAGUAAUACGUGGAUAACUUACCUCUAGGCCUGGGAUAACCCCGGGAAACUGGGGCUAAUACCUGAUAAGACCACAUUGUCUACGGACAAAGGGGUAAAAGGUGGCUGUGC
rnacentral:rRNA from 1 species